rnacentral:rRNA from 1 species
CAGCAGCCACGGGAAUACGAAGGGGGCUAGCGUUGUUCGGAAUUACUGGGCGUAAAGCGCGUGUAAGCGGGUCCUAAGUCAGGGGUGAAAUGCCAAGGCUCAACCUUAGAACUGCCUUUGAUACUGGGGAUCUUGAGUCCGGGAGAGGUGAGUGGAACUGCGAGUGUAGAGGUGAAAUUCGUAGAUAUUCGCAAGAACACCAGUGGCGAAGGCGGCUCACUGGCCCGGAACUGACGCUGAGACGCGAAAGCGUGGGGAGCAAACAGGAUUAGAGACCCCAGUAGUCCCUGUCUCUUAUACA